AUACAUGCUACUAGAGUCUUACAUUCUCCAUUUUCAGAGCAGGUGCAAGAAAAGCAGAGGCAGUGCAUGCUUCUUACAUACUAGCUCCACCAAUAUGCCUCAAUCCACCUCCAAAAAGACCAUCUUUAGGAAUGAGAAGGGAGGACAGUCUAUAUGGCCCACUCAAUUAAUUAGCCUCU
ensembl:misc_RNA